rnacentral:rRNA from 1 species
GUGGGGAAUAUUGGGCAAUGGGCGCAAGCCUGACCCAGCAACGCCGCGUGAGGGAAGAAGGCUUUCGGGUUGUAAACCUCUGUCCUUGGUGACGAAACAAAUGACGGUAGCCAAGGAGGAAGCCCCGGCUAACUACGUGCCAGCAGCCGCGGUAAUACGUAGGGGGCGAGCGUUGUCCGGAAUUACUGGGCGUAAAGGGUGCGUAGGUGGCCUUUUAAGUUGGAUGUGAAAUACCCGGGCUUAACUUGGGGGGUGCAUCCAAAACUGGGAGGCUAGAGUGCAGGAGAGGAAAGCGGAAUUCCUAGUGUAGCGGUGAAAUGCGUAGAUAUUAGGAGGAACACCAGUGGCGAAGGCGGCUUUCUGGACUGUAACUGACACUGAGGCACGAAAGCGUGGGGAGCAAACAGGAUUAGAUACCCGAGUAGUCC